rnacentral:rRNA from 1 species
GCGGUGUAAAAUGAUCUUGCGUCCUAUUAGCUAGUUGGUGAGGUAAUGGCUCACCAAGGCUACGAUGGGUAGGGGUUCUUAGUGGAAGGUCCCCCACACUGGCACUGAGAUACGGGCCAGACUCCUACGGGAGGCAGCAGUAGGGAAUAUUGGUCAAUGGGCGCAAGCCUGAACCAGCCAUGCCGCGUGCAGGAUGAAGGCUCUCUGAGUUGUAAACUGCUUUUGUACAGGAGCAAAAAAAUCCCUGCGGGGGUUCUUGAGAGUACUGUAAGAAUAAGCACCGGCUAAUUCCGUGCCAGCAGCCGCGGUAAUACGGGAGGUGCAAGCGUUAUCCGGUUUUAUUGGGUUUAAAGGGUGCGUAGGCGGCUUAUUAAGUCAGUUGUGAAAUCCUAGUGCUUAACGCUAGAACUGCGAUUGAUACUAUUAGGCUUGAGUUAAAGAAGAGGU